GCCCCCACCCUUCUCUCUGGUGGCGCAACGGCAUGAACGGGGGAGGGUCACAUUCCUCAGCUCGUCCCUUUCUCCAAACUGUUACCGGGAGGGGCUCCUGUGCAUCUUUCUGCGGAGCAGCACCAGUGCCUCCAGGUGCUUGGCGACAAGCUUCUGUCUGCCUACGUGGAUUGCCGCUUCCCGGACAUUCCCAUUGGGGUGCAGGUUGUCAAUCAUCCCGAUUCCCCCUUCGCCCUGCUGUGUCAAUGGUUGUUGUGCCAUAAAGAAACGGGGGAAAGACUGCCCAAUGACAACCCUUGAGGUGGCACAACAACAACAACAACUACAACAGGAACAAUGACAAUGGCAGUGACAACGAUUGCGAAGGUGAAGGCCACGGAACGGGUCAGCAUUUUGGAGUGGGUUUUCUUACCACAUACUCCGCCUAGGAGUGUCUGGGAAUGGACAGCAGUAUUAGCGUACCUAAUAAAGAAAGCGCAGCACCGGACAGUAGAAAUCAGCGCGCAGGAACCAGCAUUUAUUAGUUUGCCCUUGAAGGCAGACAUGUGGGAAUGGAUGCUGCGUAACUCUGAGGAUCUACAGCAUCCACUGCUAGGUUUUCUGGGUGCAGUAAGUGACUGUUUUCUGACAGACCCGUGCCUAUGGGUCAUAGUGAAGCAGCAUUGGCUAAGCCACCCAAAGGUAUCAGACAGACCAAUUGAUGGCAUGACUGUGUAUUCUGAUGCUGGAAAACGGACUUGUAAGGUGGCAUGCACCUGGCUUGAGGCGGACAAGUGGCAGAGUCAUAUUUUAGAGGGAGUAAAAGGAGAUUCCUUGCAGACUUUGGAACUCGCAGCAGUGGCAUGGACCCUCACCAGGUGGCGAGAUCAGUGUGUAAAUAUAGUAUCAGAUGCCUUAUAUGUGGUAGGAGUAGUGCUACGUAUAGAAUAAGCUUUGCUUAAGCUCCCCCAGAACCCAAGACUGGCUCAACUCUUUUUACAGGUUAGGCGGGCAAUAGAUGAUCGCUCUGAGCCUUGUAGCAUCCAGCAUAUCAGGAGUCACCUAGAGACCCAGGGUCUAGGAGAGGGCAACGCUCGUGCUGAUGCACUUGUCAGUCCACUACUACGUGCCCUGCAGGAUUCCUUUCAGGCCGCAAGAAUCACCCAUAAAUCGGCUAAGGCAUUGAGGUGCCAGUUCGGCCUGACAGAUACAGAAGCAAAGGGCAUUGUGCGGGCAUGCUCUCAGUGUUCACAGCACGGGUCUAGCCUAGGUCUAGGAGUUAAUCCAAAGGGUUUACAAGCCUGUGAGAUUUGGCAGAUGGAUGUCACUCAUGUGCCAGAAUUUGGGAGGUUAAAGUAUGUACGUGUAUCCAUUGAUACCUUUUCUAGAAUGGUGUGGGCUAUGGCACAGGCUAGUGAAAAGGCAAUCCUUGUAGUGAGGCAUUUGACAGCUUGCUUUGCAGUCAUGGGCAUGCCUCAGGAGAUAAAAACAGAUAAUGGUCUGACGUACAUGGGAGGUCGGGUUCACAGGUUCUUGCAGAUGUGGGAGGUAAAGCAUGUCACUGGAAUUCCUCAUAGUCCCACAGGUCAAGCAAUGAUAGAAACAGCUCAUAGAACUAUUAAAGAAUCCCUAAUGAAACAGAAGCAGGAGGAAGAGAUUGAUCCAGUCGUGAGUCCUUUUUACCCUUAAUUUCCUUAGCUUAGUAGGAGAUGCAGAAUUAGCUCCUGUAAUUAUACAUCAUAGUCAGAUUCAUAUGCAGUCUACUCCCUCAGUGCAGGUUCAAUAUAGGAACCCUACCACUGGCAUGUGGGAGGGUCCUGCUCCGCUAUUGUUUAAAGGUAGAGGUUAUAGUUGUGUCUCCACAGGAUCUGGCCCACUAUGGGUUCCCAGUAAAUGGACCAAGCCAGCUCUGAACAUCAACAAUUCAUCUCCACCCGACGUCAACAACAACGACUCCAGCAAGCAAUAGCCGCAUGGUGUGCAGACAUCAUAUACAGUGCCAUGACUCCCGGGUGGCAAUCGGUAUUCCCUUAGCAGAUCGCAGAAAACAUCUCAUCGGGAAGGCCUCUUGGACACUGGGAACUGCCAGGAGCAAUUAUCGGUUAUAAGAAUCAGAAAGUGCACUAAUUGUGGGGUCAGGUACAGUUAUUGAUCCAGUGUGGGGGCUGUGGUAUUUUUAUUCAUCGGGAUACUGAAACUGUAGAUAAUACUGGUGUGCUAUGUGAUCUUAGCUUACUGACGAGGCACACUUUGUAGAAGUGUGUAACACAAAUCUAGUGUAUUCUUAUAGAUAGUAAUUGGUGUGCUGAUAAUCGUGCCUUGCUUACUGUAAUACUCGCAAAAAAUGGUUCAAGAUGUGAUUCAUACUACCUGGCUUGUGCAAAAGAAAAAGGGGGAAUUGUAGGAGAGUGGCUCAGGGAGCAAGAGUUUGUGAGCUUGAGUGCUGUGUGCACAACUCAGGCUAUGAGACCUUGAAGCUGUCAAAGCAGGAAGAAAAACUGAGUCUUCAGUUAAGAUAAGGGGGUAGCUAGCCUAGGAAGAGAUCAAGACAGUGGAAUGCGAAGAACAGUGAAAAAACCUGUGUGUUGAUUAAUGCUGUACCAAUAGCUAACGAGCAAGACGCGUGAUUUCUGUGUGCUAACCAAUUAUAAGUUGCCGUGUGUACCUGUAUUUCUGUAUAAGUAUGAGCUGAUUCAGGGAAUAAAGUAGCUUUUAGAAGUUUCCACUA